rnacentral:rRNA from 1 species
CCGAGUUUACAACUCCCAAACCCAAUGUGAACGUUACCAAACUGUUGCCUCGGCGGGAUCUUCUGCCCCGGGUGCGUCGCAGCCCCGGACCAAGGCGCCCGCCGGAGGACCAACUCCAAAACUCUUUUUGUAUACCCCCUCGCGGGUUUUUUAUAUAUCUGAGCCAUCUCGGCGCCUCUCGUAGGCGUUUCGAAAAUGAAUCAAAACUUUCAACAACGGAUCUCUUGGUUCUGGCAUCGAUGAAGAACGCAGCGAAAUGCGAUAAGUAAUGUGAAUUGCAGAAUUCAGUGAAUCAUCGAAUCUUUGAACGCACAUUGCGCCCGCCAGUAUUCUGGCGGGCAUGCCUGUCCGAGCGUCAUUUCAACCCUCGAACCCCUCCGGGGGGUCGGCGUUGGGGAUCGGCCCUCCCUCGCGGGGAGCCGGCCCCGAAAUACAGUGGCGGUCUCGCCGCAGCCUCUCCUGCGCAGUAGUUUGCACACUCGCAUCGGGAGCGCGGCGCGUCCAAUGCCGUAAAACACCCAACUUUCUGAAAUGUUGACCUCGGAUCAGGUAGGAAUACCCGCUGAACUUAAGCAUAUCAUA